UUGAUCCCGCCGGAGGUUACUGCUAUCGAGGUUCGACUAAGCCAUGCGAGUCGAAUGUAGCAAUACAUGGCGUACUGCUCAGUAACACGUGGACAACCUACCCUUAGGCCGGGGAUAAACCCGGGAAACUGGGUAUAAUACCCGAUAGUCCUCGACUGCUGGAAUGCAUCGAGGACUAAAGCUCCGGCGCCUAAGGAUGGGUCUGCGGCCUAUCAGGUAGUAGUGGGUGUAGCGUACCUACUAGCCUACGACGGGUACGGGUUGUGAGAGCAAGAGCCCGGAGAUGGAUUCUGAGACACGAAUCCAGGCCCUACGGGGUGCAGCAGGCGCGAAAACUUUACAAUGCUGGAAACAGCGAUAAGGGGACCUCGAGUGCCAGGUUACAAAUCUGGCUGUCGUGAUGCCUAAAAAGCAUUGCAUAGCAAGGGCCGGGCAAGACCGGUGCCAGCCGCCGCGGUAACACCGGCGGCUCGAGUGGUAACCGUUAUUAUUGGGUCUAAAGGGUCUGUAGCCGGCCGGAUAAGUCUCUUGGGAAAUCUGGCAGCUUAACUGUCAGGCUUUCAGGAGAUACUGUCUGGCUCGAGGCCGGGAGAGGUGAGAGGUACUUCAGGGGUAGGGGUGAAAUCUUGUAAUCCUUGAAGGACCACCAGUGGGCGAAGGCGUCUCACUAGAACGGACCUGACGGCAAGGGACGAAAGCUAGGGGCACGAACCGGGAUUAGAUACCCGGGUAGUCCUAGCCGUAAACGAUACUCGCUAGGUGUCGGCCACGGUGCGUCCGUUGUCGGUGUCGUAGGGAGGCGUUGAAGCGAGCCACCUGGGAAGUACGGCCGCAAGGCUGAACUUAAAGGAGUUGGCGGGGGAGCACCACAACGGGUGGAGCUUGCGGUUUAAUUGGAUUCA
rnacentral:rRNA from 1 species